AAAUAUAUUAAGGGUGCAGAUCAAUUCUCAAACCUUCUCUGCUCUCUCCCACCUACCCACGUCUCCUUCCCCAUUCCAUCUUUAUCUCUUCUCUGUUGCAGAGAUGCUACCUCUCUCCUUCUCUCUCACCAAGCCGAUUUUGUUGUAUAGACCUCCAUAUAUAGAUAAGCACUGAGAACAACAAUAUACAGAAUCUUUUGGGAUUGAAACAGUUAAUAUGUACAUACAUAUAUUAAACCCUCCCACUCGCUGCCUCUCCCUCUACCCUCCCACUCGAUGCCUCUUCCCCUCUCCCUCCUUUCGCAGAGACGCUACAUCUCUCCUUUUCUCUCACCCGAUCUUUGCCUUUCCCCCUCUCCCCCCACCCUCCCGCUCGUUGCCUCUCCCCCUCCACCCGAUCUCUGCCUCUCCCCACAACCCUCCCACUCGCUGCCCCGCAACCCUCCUACUCGCAACCCUCCCAGCCAGCCGCCGCCGCCGUAUUUUCUUUCUCUCUCUGCUUCGAACCCCGAUUGGAGCUCUCGGGGGUUCUUCUCAUAAUUCAGCUAAAGCAAAGAUCUAAUAGCCUUUUGAAAGCUCGAUUCUCAUAUCAGAGCACCAUUCCUAGAAGUUUUAAAAAUGGUUAGUUUUCGCAAUUUUGAUCUGUUGAUUUCAUAGUAUCAUAAUUACCUGCUUCACUUUUGUCUUUUUCAUUAAAGUGAUGAAACUUGCUCCUUAUUACUUCACCAGCAUCAGCAUGUGUAGGUUAGUUCGAAGGCGUGUAUUGAAUGAUAAAUAUUAGUGAUAGGUUACAAAAAGCCAUCAAAAUACCAUCUUUGUGCAUGUGUUUGAGAUGUUAAGGUAGUGUUUGGUUCACUAAAAUGAAGAUAGAACGGAAUAACGAUCAUUCCAUCAUAAUGUUAAUUCUCACAUUUGGUUGGUUGAAUUUAGAUUAUUUUAAUCUACGUUUUUGUUUUUGUUUUUUUUUUAUUUUAUCUUCUUUGGUGACGUGAAUGUUCAAAUUUAAAUUGCUUCUGGGUCUUCAAUUUUUCUUCCCUGUUUUUCAAUGGGGACCCAAGUAUAGUCUAAAUCUUCUAAGGUCUAAUGUCAUCUCUGGUCUCACCAUUGCAAGCCUUGCAAUCCCACAGGCAUGUUUCUGUUUUCAUUUUCUGUUUUUGUUUUCAGAAAACAGGUAAAAAGGUUGGUGUUUUGUUUGGUGAACUGUUUUUGAUUUAAUUAAAUUUUUGUAAUGAAAUAGUGUUGGGAUUAAAAAAUAUUUAACUAGCUUCCUUAUAUUUCAUAAUAUAUUUCAUGAAAUAGUGCUGCAUCAUAAUAUAUCUCCCUUUCACUCUAGCCACAUUUCGAUUGUUUGCUAUCCGAAGGAUAGAAAUUGUAAUACUAGAGUUUGUAUCCUUCCUAUUGUAAUUUUUCACAGAAUGAUGCAAUGUAAAUUAGAGCGCUGUUUACAACACAAAAUCAUUACCAUUGCUAUACAUUUAUUUGUUAUGAUGAGAAGAGUUAAUUUUCUCAGGGUUUUGAGUUGUGUAUAGUAUUCUUGGUUUUGGUGUUGUGGUUAAUUUCAAAUGUUAAUUUGGGAUAACAAUGUGAUACAAGGAAAUGCGGUUAGUUUCAGAUUUUAUUAUCAAAAAACAUUUUGGGAACAUGGUUUUGGUGUUGUGGUUAUCACAUCUCAACUGUUGUUGUGAAGACGAGUGUCUUCCUUUUCCAUGAGCUUGCUGUUGCUGCUACUAUCAAAAUGGAUUGGGGUGACAGUUGUGUUUGACUCUUUCCAACUGAUCUAUGCUUUUUAUUUUUUAAUUUUUUUUAUUUAUAAAUAUGUUUGUGACUGUAAUGAUUGUAUUGUGUUGGCAGUCAGUUGAUUGUUCUUUUCCAAAUGAACAAUAUUAUAGAGGAAUCUACAUCUCGGGAUUAAAUUUAAAUAGUGUUGGGAUUAAAUUCAAACAGUGUUGGGAUUAAAUUUAAAUUUAAAUAGUGUUGGGAUUAAAUCUAAAUUUAAAUAGUGUUGGGAAUAAAUUUAAAUUUAAAUAGUGUUGGGAUUAAAUUUAAUAGUGUUGGCAUUAAAUUUAAAUUUAAUCCAUGUUGGGAUUAAAUUUAUAAUAAAUUUAAAUAGUGUUGGGAUUAAAUUUAAAUAGUGUUGGGAUUACUUUGCAUAAUCAUUAUGAAUUUAAACUGACACAUUUUUUUUUCUUUUCUUUUCUAUUUUGCCCGGUUGGUUUUGGGGAAUAAUUGUGGUUUCUCAGUUUAAUUUUUCUAGGUUUUCUUUCUCAAAACCUCCAAAAAGAGAAAAGAAAUCGGAGGAAAUGGUGGGGCAAAAAAAGGCAAAAGGGAUGUAAGGGAAAGGAAAGAAGAAUUGAACUUAUACUGUCUGAUUUAAUUUUUUUCCUCUAUUUUUUUUUUUUAAAAAUGUUGUUGGGAUUUUAGGGUAAGUUCAAGGGAGAAGAAGAAGAGUGUACUCUUGAUGGAAGUGUUGAUUUGCAAGGCCAACCGGCAAUCCGAGAAAGAACUGGCAAAUGGGUUGCUGGAAAUAUCAUCCUCUGUAAGCCCUAUAUUACCAAUUUUAUUUUGUUUUUAUUUCUUUUUAUUUAAUUUUAUUUAAAGAAAGUCUUGAUAUCUUAGUCUACUUAUCUUCAUAAAUUAAUUGUUUGAGAAUAUAGGGUACUCUGUUUAUCUAUGCAUAUAUAUAUAUAUAUAUAUAUUCACACUGACAUACCUGCUCUCUAGAUUUUCAUUUUUCAUUCUUCAUUUUCAGUUUUGAGCACUUUUCAUGUUUUUUAUUAGAAUCUUUAACCAGUCUAUUUCAUAUGGGAAUCUUCCUCCUCCUUCUUAUUUAUUUAUUUAUUUAUUUUUUCUCCAGGAAUCUUACUUAGUACAUUCUACACAUAUGAUCAAUUGUAUGUGGGAUCCUAUAAUUUGCAUCUUUUGUGUUCCAAAACUGGAGAAUUGUUUUCCUGGUUUUUUGCUUAUUGUUAGAUGGAUUAGGAUUGUUUGUCUUUCAGGAGUGGCUGACAGUUUAACAACAGCUUGCAUGAAGAUGUGAAUCAGUGACCUUCCUAUAAAAUUAGCUUCAAGGACUGUCCAUGUUUGGUUAUUACUGGUGCAUAGUAUUUGUGACAUUUUUGUUUAAAAAUCAUGUAGGAAUGCACUUUCUUUUUAUUAAAAAUUCCCAUUUUAGGAUGGAGAAAAAGAUUGAGGAACAGUGGAAUGUAUCUCAUAAUUUACAUAUUAAUCAACCAUAUCCGUAGUUCCUCUGUGAUAA